GGUCUGGUGGUAGAAUCGUCAACUCGUACGACUCAAAAACAUAUGCUCGUCAUGGGUUCAAGCCCCGAAUGGAACG
rnacentral:tRNA from 1 species